AGCGCUGGAGCUGGCCCCAGGCGGGCAGUGGCCUCGGGCGAGGGCAGAAGGGCACUCCGGGCUGUGAAUAGAACACUUGCUUAUCCCUUCAGAGGACAAGCCGGUGGCAGGCCUGGAGCCCCCAGUGACGGGUUGAGCAGUGGGCAGCGAGGCAGAUGGGUCCUUAAAGAGUAGCUGACGUCUUCAGUGUCAGCUUCUAGCGUGGCCUGACAGCCCCCAGCAUCCCCGGAAUGCCCCCCACGGUCUAUCUGCUCCAAUAGACUAAAAAUUCCCUAAAUAGAAGCACCCUUGAGGCCGCUAUCAAUAUGGUACCUGCACAGAGUGGAUGUUAAGUAAAUACUUGAUGAGCGAAUGACAAGUGAUGGGAGACUUGAAGGACAAACUUCCAGGGACAGGAAGGACAGUGCUGGGCUUUUUCUUUUGAGUUUUGGAAAGCCGUUGGGCAGUGUAAUUACUGGAUUAGGACCGGGCUGGAGACCAGCUUCCAGGCUAAUCUCUGCGGACCUGGUGAACUUCCCCUUCUCUGUUCUAGCCUCCAGAAAGUUGCAUUUGCUUCCCCUCUGCACGCUUCCUUCACCAGGUUCCUGGUAUACAUCCUUCACAUUUCAGCGUGGGCAUGCCAACAGAAAAGCCCUCAGGCUUCCCAAGAUGAAUCAUAAAGCCCUGAGGUGUUCCCUCCCAGGACUCUGCUUAACCCCUUUCUUGCAUGUACCACUGUGCUAUAGAAUGGGUUGUUCAUUUGCAAAAUGACCUCAUUAAGACAGUAAGCUCUUUGAAGCUGGGGGUAGGGGUCUUAUCCAAUUCAUCACGGCGUAUUCGUGGCACAUAAUAUGGAAUGAAUGAACAGAUUGAUUUAGGAAAUAGAACCCACAAAACUCAGUGGCCAAUUGGAUGUGAAGGAGAGGGAAGGAGGAAUCUUGAGAGACUUCCAGGUUUUCUGGCCCAAGGAAUUGGGUGAGUAAUAGCUGCAUCCGCCAGAAUAAGGCUAUACAGAGGAGUUAAAGGUUGGGGGAAGAUGGUCAAAUGGCCUUUGGGGUAAUACGGUGCAGAAACUAGAACUGGAACCAUGAUUCCUCUCCAGGUUGUGGUGUAUCAGAGAUGAGAACAGUAGAUGGUGGUGUUCCCCACAAAUGGCAGGGGCGGCUUGGAAGCACAUGUAAUUGCACGUCCUGUGUAAACCGUAACUGAAGUAUUCACCUUUUUAUUUUUCCUGCCCAUGAUUGGAGAGAGUUCUGCUGCAGGCUCUACCCUUUCAGGGAUAGGAUUUUAGAUGCUUUCCUUUGUUUCUCCGCAUUUCCACCCCUUCUUAUGUCAUUGAGGAAUUCCUCUUUCCCCGUCCCUCUAAAAAGUCCAAGAAUGCAAAAGCCUUCAGGAACCUAAAAGUUAAAAAGCCUGCCAAUGGCAGCACCCCUUACAGUCCUCCUCCAGAUUAGGAUCCACUAGAGAGGGCUCCACCCUUAAUGCAGGACAUCAUUUUUCCUCUCGGGUGUAAAGGUUAAGAACAUGGCCAGCUCUGCAAACCACUCUCCAGGACCCAGUCCCAUGCUUGUCACUUUCUAGCUUGUGACCAUGGACAACUGGUUAGUCUCUUUGUAAUGCACUUUGUUCAUGUUUAAAAUGAAGGAAAUAGUGGCUCCUACUUCAUAGGGUUUUUUAGGAGUCAAUGAGUCAAUUCAGUGUACAUGGCUUUGUGUAGUGCCUGACAUAUAAGGGCUGGGUAAAUAUUUGCUCUUGACAUUAGGCAUUUCUUAUCUGUUUCUCCGUGUCCCCCAUUCAUUCAUUCAUUCAUUCAGCAAAUAUUUAUUGGACCUCCUGUGUGCUGGUUGCUAGACACACAAAGUAGAAUACAUACAUUACCCCUGUCCUCCCAGAGGGCACAUUUCAGGAGGGCGGAGCAGCAAGCAAUCAAGUUCAAGCUUUAUGUGCAUACCCUGAUAAAGCUGGUGUGGAAUAGAGGAGACAGAAGAGCUUACUUCUCUCUAGGAGGAGGGAGAGUAUCUGAAAAAGCUCCAGAGAGGAAGGCACUCUUGAAUUGCAACUUAGGUGUUUUCCUCAUUUUCCAGUUUUUGAGGUCACCUACAGGAAUUGCUUCUCUUAGCAAGGUGAGUGCAGUGCGGGAUCCAGUUAGUUGCGUCGCCCGCCGCCCCGCUGGCAGAGGCCCAAUUUUGUUCAGGUGUUUGCCAUCCCACAUUGUUAGAGCAGACCUCUCACCAGGGCUGGAGUGACACUUGAUCGGGCUAAUACGGUAGGACUCACCUCUGGGUAUACAUUUGGAACAGCUGGGGAACUUUGAAAACUUGUUAAAAUACUGUUGCCAGGAGUUGGAAUUUUGUUUCCAAAGUUCCCAGGCGAUUCCAUUGUGCAGGCGGGGCUGAGAACUACUGGUCUAAACCAAUCCCGGCAAUCCCCUUCCUCUUACAGUGACUGGUUUAAGUAUGGUCAUGUGAUACACGCCUGGCCAAUGAGAAAUUCUCAUAGCGAGUUAAAAUGGGGAACUGUGAGUACUUCUGGAAAAUAUUUUCCACCUGCCUCCCCCCAAAAGAAAUACAUCUGGCAUAAAGUCUCCUCUUCCUCACUGGGUGUUAUCAUCUGCAUCAGAAUGCGGCGUUGGAGAGGGUGUCAGUGCUGUAGCCACCUUGGCACCACGGAGCUGGCCAUCGUCACUGAGGCUCUGAGGAUGAGAGCCCAAGGCUAGCACUCGCUCACCUGGGUCACUGGGGAGCUGUUGAGCCCCUGACGCACUAAAUUAACUAAUCCUGAUGCCUAACGCCAAACUUCUUGCUCUGUGACAUAAUAAACCUCCAUGCAGCAAAAGCAUCCUGAUCACGCCCCUCCUGCAGUUGUAGAGUUAGGUUAUUGGCAUCUGGUAUGUUGUCUAUUGCUAAUUUUGGUGAUACUGAUGAGACAGACCUCUGAUGGUGAGAAUGCAUUUUUCCAUGGACAUGUAGACAUAAUUGAUGUUGCAUUUGAAAUAUUGUUUCACAUGUAUUCAGUAUUCAGUAGGCUUUGGGAAUGAAGGGUAAACCUAGUUACCAUUUAUGAUACGGUUUCAACUAGAAUGUCUCUUUUAGGUUAGAAACAAACUUUAAAUGAAUUUCUGGAACAACCCAUUUAUAAAGUUAAGAACAAUCUAUGAUCUUACAACUUUGACCUUAGAACUGGAUGACCUUACAAUUGGAUUUUUUUUUCUUCUUUUGGUCUUAGGUGAUAUGCAGACCUACAUCCUAAGAAUAAUUUUGUGGUUAAUGAAUAUUCUGAUAAAAGUUAUAGUGAUCCUUUUACAAAAGUUGCAAUGCUUCUUAAUCCUUAAUCCUUGUUGGUGCUUCUCAGGUCAAGUGGAGUUGACUUUCACUGCUUCUUGGUUUCCACUCGUAAUUCUUCAGAUGUUAUAGGGAUGUAGUUCCAAGGGAAAAACCAAGCUACCUACAUUGUGGUUAUAUUAUGAAGAAAGCGUUCCAGAAUACUGCCAUCAGUGCCCUCCAGCCAAAGACCACUAGGAACACACUUGUUGAACUUGCGUUGAACAAGUUGUAUAUUGUUUACUUCAGCCAGGGAGAAGGCGCGCCUUGGGAAGUUGUGGGGAGCCUCAGUGAGGGAGUUAGAAAAGGCUUAUUGGAAGACUUGAGUUUGUGUUCCAUGAUUUGGUGGCUUGAAGCCCUUCUCCUUGUGAAGGAGUUAAGGAAGUAAGGUUUUCCUCUGCAUUUGAUGAUGUCAUGAAGAGGUGAUUUUAGGAUUGGGUAUUUGAUUACAUCUUACCUAGGAGGAGGAAAGACCAGAUUGCAGUUGAAGCUGUGAUUGGUAAAGAAGUGGCUGUCACUCAUAUUAGCCAGGAGAAGGGACUGUUUUGGAUUUUGUGGUUUGGACAGUAGUUGUGUUUUGCCUGUGUUCAGGCAUGGUUGGAGUGGUCUUGUUCUUGUCAUGAUCCAUCAUGGUCCCUAAGUGGUUUCACCUGAUAUUCUAUGACACUAUUUAUGAUCAAUAUGAGAAUAGCCAGGCCCAGCUGUUCAUGCCGGGCCAGCUCCUGGAUGUCAGAGGCUGCCUAGUUUUUCCUCAAUCAUUAAGGUUUAUUGAGUGUUUUCUAUGUGAUAGGCAUUCUGCUAAGCACUUGACAUAUUCAGAUCCAGUCAUUCUCGAAACCUUAGGAGGUGGUAUUAUGAUCACCCUCGUUUAACAGAGGUAGAAACAGGGACCUGCAUUGCUAACUGACUUGUCCAAAGAUGGGGCGUGAGUUCAGGCUGACACCAAAGCCAAUGAUGCUGGUAAGCACACCUUUCCACAAAACGAUGUGGCUGGGCUUGGGCUGUAAGAUUCAGGACUCAAGUCACUGUCACUUUAUAAAUAGCAAGAGUAUUAACAUACAUGAUGUCUAUCUUGCAAGUUUGAAACAAAGUCCAGCAGCAUGCCUAUAUUAUGAAACCAUUUAAAGUUAUGUUGUAGACAGAUAUUUACUGACAUGGAAAAACUGUGAACAGUAUGGUAACAGACAAACACAUUAAAAAACAGAAUUUGGGUGACCUGAGGAGCUUUUUACAGCUGCAACUUUGACUCAUUGAAUUGAAAUAUCAGAGUGGGAUUCCAGCAUCUGUGAAUUCAAAAAUUGAAAUUCUUGCUGUACAGAUGAAGCCCAGUGUUCUGUUUCAGGUGUAAACUGAGGCAGGUACUUGUCAGGCUUUCCUGUUGUAUGAUCAACAACCUUAAUGGCCAACAUUCAGGAUAUAAUUGGGUUCUGAUGAAUUCAGAGCUGUAGAAUGUAGUCAGUUUGCACUUUUGUGACACUGUACUUAGGGUCAGUGGAUACUUUUGAAGAUGGUGAGAAUGAUUAUUUACAUCUAUUGGCAAGUUUGAGUAAAGCCACCUUGGGCAUAAGAUUUGGCCCUGGUACAAGCUUAAAAAGUAACUUUAGGUCCUCAACCUUCUUAUUCAAGAUUAAACAUUCAAAGCUGAGGUUUAUUCCAUUUAACAGAACCAAAUAAUAACAGCAGCUAUUUAUUGAGUGGCUACAUGCCAACUUUUCCACAUGUCAUAUUCUUUAGCCCUUAAACAAUCCUCUAAACUAGAUAAUUAUUAUCUGCACUUAAAAACAAGAAAACUAAGGCUCAGAAAUGUUAAGGGGCUUACCCAAGGUAGCACAUGAAUAAACGUCAGAAUGGCAAGGUGUUUUCCAAUCUAGUUCUAUCUAAUAUCCAUGUCCCACUUUCUCCAUUUGUUAAUAUCCCAAGUUUUACAAGCUUUUAAAAAGGCUUAUAAAACUCUAAGGAGGUUUCAAAUAUCUCUGUCUUUGUACAGCUAUGUAAUCAAUGCUUUCUGCACCUGUGACAUAUCAAAUUAGCACAAACACAGAGAAUAUUAUUUGCAUUAAAAAGGGUACUGAACUUGCAGUCAUAUAAUCAUUUUAGUCUUCAUGAGAUUGAGUCAUAUCAGCUACAAAAGCCAGAUUAGAAGACUAUCCUUACAGUUGAAAUUCCAGAGAAAUUUACACAAAAUCAUUUUCAAAAAGGUUCAAAAUAUCAAGUCGGGUUUAAAAAAUGUUAACUAGAUGACAACCUUCAAAUGCCAAGACCUCUGAAACAUUAAAGCCUAUUUGAAAUUUGGCAGAAGAAUUUUAAAAGGAAGAUUGAAUGUCUUACUCACCUGAAAUUUGCUUUACUUAAGACUCACAUGAUGUUUCUGAGUAAAACAACUGUCCUUGACUAAUUUCAUAUAAAAAUGAUGAUGUAUUAUGAACAAUAAAAUUACUAUUAAUUGUACAUUAUGAACUGUUGUUGAACCAUGACAGGGGAACAAAAUACACAUAAAUUGCAAAUUUUGCUGUUGAAAUAUAUUCUGGAAAUUAUUAGUUUCUUGGUCAUAUUUCAGUGAGUGACUCUUAAAAACAGUAUUCUCUGUUUUUAUCAUAUUUGAAAAGCGGCUUUGUCACCCUUGUAAUUAAUUUUUGUUAAGUUUUUGAAGAAAGAGUGGUAAAAAGAAUCAGGCUACAUUGAGUAUUUAUUAUUAGCUUUCAGUUCUCCCAGGAACCAUGGCUAGAUACAGCUUCCUCUUUACUCAAAUCUGUAAUUAAUGUUCACAAGAUAUCAUACUGACAUUGUUUUUUGUUUUGUUUGGGGGGGCAGUUUUUGUUUGUUUGCUCUUUUAGAGACAAGUGUUGCUAUGUUGCCUAGGCUGCAGUGCAGUGGCUAUUCACAGAUACAAUCAUAGUGCACUACAGCCUCAAACUCCUGGCCUCAAGCCAUCCUCCCACUUCAGCCUCCUGAGUAGCAGGGACUACAGGCACUUGCCACCUCACCUGGCUGACAUUGUUUUUUAAAACAGAAUCUCAUGAGGAAAUUACCAUAUGAGUCCAUGACUAAUGGAUCAUGAAAAUAUUAGCUCAAUUAUCAAAUUAAAAAUUAUUGACCUAAAUUAUCCUUCAUUCUACUUGGAUUAUAUGUAGUAAAACCUAAACUAAAAAUGGUAAUUUUUAGAUCAAAAGGUAACUGAAAAUGAUUUUCAUAUUUUAGUUUCCAGAGAUUAAUAAUUUACUACAAAGAUGACUUUAAAACCUUAAAAAUUCUAAGAAUAUACAGUGACUUUUUUUAUCUCACCCCAAUCUUAUUAAGAUGAUUGUCUCCAAUGACAAUCAUCAUUCAAAGUGAUGACUCUGAGGUAUUGUCACUUCUUUUUUUCAUGCUACCCAAAGUACUGGAUUCUCAUCGUCAUCGUGUGAAUUGUGUUGUAGUGACUAUAUUUAGUCUGUCCUGUUAGAUUUGCCAUCUUCUUUAUUCUGGUAGCAGAUCUUUUCUUCUGACCACAAGUUGGGCAGAUGGCCCAGGCGUGAUCCAAGGCAAUAUCUCAUCUCCUCACCAAGGUGAUUGGGCAAAAAGGCACCUUGGUGCGAUACAAGGCCAAUGAGAAUUAUUCCAUGUUCUUGCUACUUGGACACAGGGGGAAAGCAACUCAAGUGGAAAGAAAGCAGUUUAUUGUUCAGGUAGGUUUCUGUCACUUGCAACCAAGAGUUCUAAUGAAUAGAACCUUCUGAAUACCUCAAGGUGUAGCCAAUAUUUUAUGUAGUGGUUUUCAGGAAAGCAGGAAAGUGAACCAAAUUAUUUUAGACAUGUUUUUAACAAGGCUUGAAAUAAAAGUUUCUCAAGAUUUGUACCAAA